rnacentral:rRNA from 1 species
GACGAACGCUGGCGGCGUGCUUAAUACAUGCAAGUUGAGCGGAGCUAAUUGUUAGCUUGCUAACAAUUAGUCGAGCGGCGGACGGGUGAGUAACGCGUGGGCAAUCUGCCCUCUAGUCUAGGAUAACAGUUCGAAAGGACUGCUAACACUGGAUAUUCUAUUAUGAAGACAUCUUCAUAAUAGGAAAGUUAACGCUAGAGGAUGAGCCCGCGUCCCAUUAGCUAGUUGGUGAGGUAACGGCCCACCAAGGCAACGAUGGGUAGCCGACCUGAGAGGGUGACCGGCCACACUGGGACUGAGACACGGCCCAGACUCCUACGGGUGGCUG